AAAACGACUCUCGGCAACGGAUAUCUCGGYUCUCGCAUCGAUGAAGAACGUAGCGAAAUGCGAUACUUGGUGUGAAUUGCAGAAUCCCGUGAACCAUCGAGUCUUUGAACGCAAGUUGCGCCCUAAGCCUUCUGGCCGAGGGCACGUCUGCCUGGGUGUCACAAA
rnacentral:rRNA from 1 species